GCUCAGUAACACGUGGAUAAUCUACCCUUAGGACCGGGAUAACCCUGGGAAACUGGGGAUAAUACUGGAUAGGCAAUUAUUCCUGUAAUGGUUUUUUGUUUAAAUGUUUUUUCGCCUAAGGAUGAGUCUGCGGCCGAUUAGGUAGUUGGUUAGGUAAUGGCUUACCAAGCCGUUGAUCGGUACGGGUUGUGAGAGCAAGAGCCCGGAGAUGGAACCUGAGACAAGGUUCCAGGCCCUACGGGGUGCAGCAGGCGCGAAACCUCCGCAAUGUGAGAAAUCGCGACGGGGGGAUCCCAAGUGCCAUUCUUAACGGGAUGGCUUUUCAUUAGUGUAAAGAGCUUUUGGAAUAAGAGCUGGGCAAGACCGGUGCCAGCCGCCGCGGUAACACCGGCAGCUCUAGUGGUAACAAUUUUUAUUGGGCCUAAAGCGUCCGUAGCCGGUUUAAUAAGUCUCCGGUGAAAUCCUGCAGCUUAACUGUGGGAAUUGCUGGAGAUACUAUUAGACUUGAGACCGGGAGAGGUUAGAGGUACUCCCAGGGUAGAGGUGAAAUUCUGCAAUCCUGGGAGGACCGCCUGUUGCGAAGGCGUCUAACUGGAACGGUUCUGACGGUGAGGGACGAAAGUUAGGGGCGCGAACCGGAUUAGAUACCCGGGUAGUCCUAACUGUAAACGAUGCGGACUUGGUGUUGGGGUGGCUUUGAGCUGCUUCAGUGCCGAAGGGAAGCUGUUAAGUCCGCCGCCUGGGAAGUACGGUCGCAAGACUGAAACUUAAAGGAAUUGGCGGGGGAGCAC
rnacentral:rRNA from 1 species